ACCUGGGUGGCUCAGAUGGUAAAGAGUCUGCCUGCAAUGCAGGAGACCCAGGUUCCAUCCCUGGGUCAGGAA
rnacentral:tRNA from 1 species